rnacentral:rRNA from 1 species
AUUGAACGCUGGCGGCAUGCUUUACACAUGCAAGUCGAGCGGCAGCGCGGGGGCAACCCUGGCGGCGAGCGGCGAACGGGUGAGUAAUGCAUCGGAACGUAUCCUCGAGUGGGGGAUAACCCAGCGAAAGUUGGGCUAAUACCGCAUGAGCUCUGAGGAGGAAAGCGGGGGACCUGCGAGGGCCUCGCGCUGGAGGAGCGGCCGAUGUCCGAUUAGCUAGUUGGUGGGGUAAAGGCUUACCAAGGCGACGAUCGGUAGCUGGUCUGAGAGGAUGAUCAGCCACACUGGGACUGAGACACGGCCCAGACUCCUAAGGGAGGCAGCAGUGGGGAAUUUUGGACAAUGGGGGCAACCCUGAUCCAGCCAUGCCGCGUGAGUGAAGAAGGCCUUCGGGUUGUAAAGCUCUUUCGGACGGAACGAAAUGGGCGGGACUAAUACUCCUGUCUGAUGACGGUACCGUAAGAAGAAGCACCGGCUAACUACGUG